rnacentral:piRNA from 1 species
UGGAUUAAAUUUGUGUGCACCAUGCCUG